AGAGUUUGAUCAUGGCUCAGAAUGAACGUUGGCGGCGUGGAUUAGGCAUGCAAGUCAUGCGGAAAGGCCCCGCAAGGGGUACCCGAGCGGCGAAAGGGAUAGUAACGCGUAGGUCACCUACCCUCGGGACGGGGAUAGCUGGGGGAAACUCCAAUUAAUACCCGAUAACAUCUCCGGAUCAAAGGUGUGAUUCCGCCUGAGGACGGGCCUGCGUCUUAUCAGCUAGUUGGUGAGGUAACGGCCCACCAAGGCAACGACGAGUAGCGGGUGUGAGAGCACGACCCGCAUCACUGGGACUGAGAUACUGCCCAGACACCUACGGGUGGCUGCAGUCGAGGAUCUUCGGCAAUGGGCGAAAGCCUGACCGAGCGACGCCGCGUGCGGGAUGAAGGCCUUCGGGUUGUAAACCGCUGUCAGUGGGGAGGAAGUCUGGGAGGGAUCACCCUCUCAGUUGACCUAUCCGCAGAGGAAGGACGGGCUAAGUUCGUGCCAGCAGCCGCGGUAAUACGAACCGUCCUAACGUUAUUCGGAAUCACUGGGCUUAAAGGGUGCGUAGGCGGUCCGGUAAGUUGGGUGUGAAAUCCCUCGGCUCAACCGAGGAAUUGCGCUCAAAACUGUCGGACUUGAGGGAGACAGAGGUGAGUGGAACUUAGGGUGGAGCGGUGAAAUGCGUUGAUAUCCUAAGGAACACCGGUGGCGAAAGCGACUCACUGGGUCUCUUCUGACGCUGAGGCACGAAAGCUAGGGUAGCGAACGGGAUUAGAUACCCCGGUAGUCCUAGCCGUAAACGAUGAGCACUAGGUCGAAGGGUACACCAUAGCCUUUUGG
rnacentral:rRNA from 1 species